rnacentral:tRNA from 1 species
GAAUGUAGCUUGGUGGUAGGGUGCUUGCCUAAUAUGCAUGAGGCCCUAGGUUCAAUCCCCAACACA